rnacentral:lncRNA from 1 species
UUUUAAGGAGAGGAUGUGAAACCCAACCCAAUUAGGCUUCUUCUAGGUUGAAACCGGCAAGACUUGCCAACUUCAGUUUAAAAUCCCAAAAAAAAUGAGAUCAGAAUAGGAGAAUCGUGAUCUUCUAUUCCGAUCUCUCAUUAUGGGAGAUAAAGUCACCUAACGAUGGCCAGUAGGGGUGUCACAGGUCGGUAGGACAAUCGGUGGCCAUUGGGGGCAACUGUAACUGAUGAACAACUGGCAUUAGGCUGGCCUUAUCCCAUCCAAACCCUUCCUAUCCUUCGGCUAAAUCCACCAUCAACCCCUCUCCACCUCCCUCUCCCUUCUUCCUUACCUCCAGCUACCAUCGAGCUAGCGCCAUCACCUGAAAACCCCUCCCCUUCCUCCCUAAUCCUUCCUGUCUCAUCCUAUUCAGGAGCUUUUGGGUGUUUUUACUAUCAAAAUUCCUCACCGCCAGCCACAACCUAUUGCUACUACCACCUUUGGUAAGCUCUCCUCCCACCCUGUCCUUCUUUCUUUUGACUUGGGUGGCAAGGAGUAGCACCCCUUUUACCUUCUCUUGGAUUUUCUGUGCAUGGUAGAACUACCGCCUCUAGCCAUUGGUACUCUGCCAUGCCACCACCACUAACCACCGCCAACCCCACCCCUCCUCCUCUCUACCCUCCCCUAAUGAAAUCUCUAGUUUGGCUUGGG